rnacentral:rRNA from 1 species
CAGCCGCCGCGGGAACACGUAGGGUGCAAGCGUUGUCCGGAAUUAUUGGGCGUAAAGAGCUCGUAGGCGGUUUGUCGCGUCUGCUGUGAAAUCCCGAGGCUCAACCUCGGGCUUGCAGUGGGUACGGGCAGACUAGAGUGCGGUAGGGGAGAUUGGAAUUCCUGGUGUAGCGGUGGAAUGCGCAGAUAUCAGGAGGAACACCGAUGGCGAAGGCAGAUCUCUGGGCCGUAACUGACGCUGAGGAGCGAAAGCGUGGGGAGCGAACAGGAUUAGAUACCCGAGUAGUCCCUGUCUCUUAUAC